AUUACACGUUAUAUAUAAUCAAAUUUGAUUCUUUUAUUUGGAUCAUAUUAAUGAUUUAUUUAUUAUUAUUUUAGAUCAAUCUACAUCGAUGGUCAGGCAAGGAUGAGGUCCAUCGAAGAACCUCGCUUUAGAGCGUUGGAGAUGUGAGCACCGAGACAGCAUCUCUGGAUAGAGAUAUCGGCCGACUACACCAGACCCAUUAGGGGAUGGUGUGAGCCAUG
rnacentral:lncRNA from 1 species